rnacentral:rRNA from 1 species
UACGAAGGGGGCUAGCGUUGCUCGGAAUCACUGGGCGUAAAGGGUGCGUAGGCGGGUUUUUAAGUCAGGGGUGAAAUCCUGGAGCUCAACUCCAGAACUGCCUUUGAUACUGGAGAUCUCGAGUCCGGGAGAGGUGAGUGGAACUGCGAGUGUAGAGGUGAAAUUCGUAGAUAUUCGCAAGAACACCAGUGGCGAAGGCGGCUCACUGGCCCGGUACUGACGCUGAGGCACGAAAGCGUGGGGAGCAAACAGG